UUGCAGCCAGUUAAGCCGACUGUGCCCGUUUCCCCGUGGGAGCCCAGUGUGCAGUGGCUGCAGACGGCAGCCUCCUUGGGAGGGUACGCACCUGUUCCCUGCACAGGUUGCCCUAAGGGGCCUUGGAGACAACU